rnacentral:rRNA from 1 species
UGGGGAAUAUUGCACAAUGGGCGCAAGCCUGAUGCAGCCAUGCCGCGUGUAUGAAGAAGGCCUUCGGGUUGUAAAGUACUUUCAGCGGGGAGGAAGGGAGUAAAGUUAAUACCUUUGCUCAUUGACGUUACCCGCAGAAGAAGCACCGGCUAACUCCGUGCCAGCAGCCGCGGUAAUACGGAGGGUGCAAGCGUUAAUCGGAAUUACUGGGCGUAAUGCGCACGCUGGCGGUUUGUUAAGUCAGAUGUGAAAUCCCCGGGCUCAACCUGGGAACUGCAUCUGAUACUGGCAAGCUUGAGUCUCGUAGAGGGGGGUAGAAUUCCAGGUGUAGCGGUGAAAUGCGUAGAGAUCUGGAGGAAUACCGGUGGCGAAGGCGGCCCCCUGGACGAAGACUGACGCUCAGGUGCGAAAGCGUGGGGAGCAAACAGG